rnacentral:rRNA from 1 species
AAAGCGUGCGCAGGCGGUUUUGUAAGUUUGUCGUGAAAGCCCCGGGCUCAACCUGGGAAUUGCGAUGAAGACUGCAAGGCUUGAAUCUGGCAGAGGGGGGUAGAAUUCCACGUGUAGCAGUGAAAUGCGUAGAGAUGUGGAGGAACACCGAUGGCGAAGGCAGCCCCCUGGGUCAAGAUUGACGCUCAUGCACGAAAGCGUGGGGAGCAAACAGGAUUAGAUACCCUGGU